rnacentral:rRNA from 1 species
UACGGGAGGGGCAAGCGUUGUUCGGAAUUACUGGGCGUAAAGGGUGCGUAGGCGGGUCUUUAAGUCAGGGGUGAAAUCCUGGAGCUCAACUCCAGAACUGCCUUUGAUACUGAGGAUCUUGAGUCCGGGAGAGGUGAGUGGAACUGCGAGUGUAGAGGUGAAAUUCGUAGAUAUUCGGAAGAACACCAGUGGCGAAGGCGGCUCACUGGACCGGUAUUGACGCUGAGGUGCGAAAGCGUGGGGAGCAAACAGG